rnacentral:lncRNA from 1 species
CACACAAUAGAGAAGGAUGAGUGUCCAGCACAAGAGCAGCCAUGUGGUUACAGCUUCAGUCAGCAGAGGGAGUAUGGACACCUGUGUUAAAAGCCACAUUGGGUCACUGGUGACAGCCAAGAGAAUAGACUUUCUCCUAGAAUUCCGCUUUUGUCUGCAAAAAAAAAAGGAGCCUAGGAGUUAUCAGGCUGUAGCACUCUGGAUUCCUUCAAGUCUGCAGAGCAUGGAUUUAGAAAUAUCAGAAGGAAGAGCUGCAGGAUUCCAAACUGGGAAGUUCCGAAAGCAUAAAGGAGGAAUUUAGCAACAAAUUACAGUAAGAAUCGAGUCUGGCUUGACUGUAGAGUGCUAACGAUAGAGGAAGUGAGAAAAAUCUGACAAAAAUAAAAAUGUGGUUGUUAUCUUCA